AACGCUGGCGGCGUGCUUAACACAUGCAAGUCGAACGGUGAAGCCAAGCUUGCUUGGUGGAUCAGUGGCGAACGGGUGAGUAACACGUGAGCAACCUGCCCUGAACUCUGGGAUAAGCGCUGGAAACGGUGUCUAAUACUGGAUAUGAGCUGCGGAGGCAUCUUCGUGGUUGGAAAGAUUUUUCGGUUUGGGAUGGGCUCGCGGCCUAUCAGCUUGUUGGUGAGGUAAUGGCUCACCAAGGCGUCGACGGGUAGCCGGCCUGAGAGGGUGACCGGCCACACUGGGACUGAGACACGGCCCAGACUCCUACGGGAGGCAGCAGUGGGGAAUAUUGCACAAUGGGCGGAAGCCUGAUGCAGCAACGCCGCGUGAGGGAUGACGGCCUUCGGGUUGUAAACCUCUUUUAGCAGGGAAGAAGCGUGAGUGACGGUACCUGCAGAAAAAGCGCCGGCUAACUACGUGCCAGCAGCCGCGGUAAUACGUAGGGCGCAAGCGUUAUCCGGAAUUAUUGGGCGUAAAGAGCUCGUAGGCGGUUUGUCGCGUCUGCUGUGAAAACCCGAGGCUCAACCUCGGGCCUGCAGUGGGUACGGGCAGACUAGAGUGCGGUAGGGGAGAUUGGAAUUCCUGGUGUAGCGGUGGAAUGCGCAGAUAUCAGGAGGAACACCGAUGGCGAAGGCAGAUCUCUGGGCCGUAACUGACGCUGAGGAGCGAAAGGGUGGGGAGCAAACAGGCUUAGAUACCCUGGUAGUCCACCCCGUAAACGUUGGGAACUAGUUGUGGGGUCCAUUCCACGGAUUCCGUGACGCAGCUAACGCAUUAAGUUCCCCGCCUGGGGAGUACGGCCGCAAGGCUAAAACUCAAAGGAAUUGACGGGGACCCGCACAAGCGGCGGAGCAUGCGGAUUAAUUCGAUGCAACGCGAAGAACCUUACCAAGGCUUGACAUACACGAGAACGCUGCAGAAAUGUAGAACUCUUUGGACACUCGUGAACAGGUGGUGCAUGGUUGUCGUCAGCUCGUGUCGUGAGAUGUUGGGUUAAGUCCCGCAACGAGCGCAACCCUCGUUCUAUGUUGCCAGCACGUAAUGGUGGGAACUCAUGGGAUACUGCCGGGGUCAACUCGGAGGAAGGUGGGGAUGACGUCAAAUCAUCAUGCCCCUUAUGUCUUGGGCUUCACGCAUGCUACAAUGGCCGGUACAAAGGGCUGCAAUACCGCGAGGUGGAGCGAAUCCCAAAAAGCCGGUCCCAGUUCGGAUUGAGGUCUGCAACUCGACCUCAUGAAGUCGGAGUCGCUAGUAAUCGCAGAUCAGCAACGCUGCGGUGAAUACGUUCCCGGGUCUUGUACACACCGCCCGUCAAGUCAUGAAAGUCGGUAACACCUGAAGCCGGUGGCCCAACCCUUGUGGAGGGAGCCGUCGAAGGUGGAUC
rnacentral:rRNA from 1 species